rnacentral:lncRNA from 1 species
GUCCUCUUGCCCGAAUUCGGAUAAAACCAGUUUAACCCGACCCAGAUCUAUGCGAACCGACCCGGUUUGAAAAAAGGCGUCGGACAAUCCCCAAUCUCUCGUCGUUCGACGGGGCCAUUCGUUUCUCACUUUCCGGUUUUUCUUCGAUUUGCAACGUUGUGAAUGCUUACACAUCUAUGGGUAUGUUCUUGCUUUGUUAAAAAGCACGGAGCUUUACGUCCUUCUCUCAAGAAUUUCAGUAUCUUCCAUGAAGUUAGUAAAUUUAUCUGUAUUUAUAUGAUGAGAUCAUAACUACGCAAAUUAAUAGUGUUGUACAUUGUUGCACAAGAUGUCUCUUUUGAGUUCGACUAAUAAUUCAAUUUUUAGACGAAUCCCUCAAGCUAACAAAGGAAAUCAAAGGCUUUUCAUUUCCUGUGUGAUUAUCAUAAAAAGGACUUCUUCUUGAAGACGAGAUUCUCGGUUCUGCGUUGUUAACCAUUGUUGAAAGAUAUGGCCUGUUGUGAUUCUCUCUGAGGCUUUCUUCUUCUGCCCAUGUGAGCUCCAUUCUAUGGAAGAAUGGCUCUUCCAUUAUCUCUUUCUGCUCUGAAGUUGAAUCUCCAAUAUAUGUUCUUAAUCCCAGUCUGUUGUCAAGCAUCUUUGGGGCUUUCUGAGUUCCUUCACUUGAGGUUAGGCAACUGUCCAGGGAGGAGUUAGGUGGAUACGUUUUUUGCAUCUGUUGAUGGUGUAGAUUCUGCAGUUCUUUCGGUUCGAGGAAACUAGAGUCUGGAUAGUCUGCUGAUACUUUAGAUACUAAUUCUGAGAGUUGAGCUUUUGUUGCUUCAAUCCCAGCUGCACCUAGGUUCUGUCUUCCAAGAGUCUCUUGUGCUUUCUCCAGAAUCGAUUGCAGAGUACAGUAUAUGAUAGAUACCUCAAGUUGCUCGUGUAGCCGUCUCUGGACCUCUAUUUGCAUUUGAAGGGCAUCACUUAUGGGGGGGUUUUCUUCUACCAUGGUCAUCACACCUAAACCAGGUUGCUUUUAGUUUACUUGAAGGAAAAUAGUAUGAAAAAAGAAUGAAUCUUUAGAUUAAAAUAUUUUUGUAUCUGAGUAAUGAAUAACUAAGCUUACUUGUCUUGUUUAAACUGCUGUUAGCUUGUCCAUUAAGAUUCUUGCUUAGCCUAUAUUUCUGGUAGUCAAAUCAUGAUAUUAAUAAUCUUUGUAAAACAAAAAACAGAUAUUACAGAUUUUUCAUAUCUUGACAUAUCGUCAUUUUUGUGCUACUUUAAUAGUUUUCUACCAAUCGAAUUGAUGAACGAGUCAUGUAAGUUUAGGGCCUUGGGCAUAUGACUGUAUAAAGUGUUGAUGGAUUACCUGAAGAUGACUCUUGAGAUGGUAUAAGGUAAGGCCUGGAAUGCCCAUGACUUUCAUGAUUGUCUUAGGAGUAGCCUCUGCGCAGACAAAAGUAUACACAUUAAUACAUUAUGUUCAAAAAGCCUGAUUGUAAAAGAUGGUUCAUUUGCUUAUAAGAUAACUUACUAUCUCCUCCUCCAAGCUGGUUGACCGCUUCAACAAAUCUCUCGUGAAGAUCUGGAGUCCAUUUUAGUCGUGGCUUUGCAUCAGUGGAGAGAAUGAGUCCAGAAUCUCCUGUGCCAUUUCCUCUGAGGAACGGAUGCCUUUCAGAAGAAAUGGGCAUUCUCGAUGAAGAGAGGAUGCUCUUUCCUUGGUGCUGGUUGUGGUAAUACAUAAGUCUGUCUUCAAAAUAAAAAGGCCGGGGUCUCUCAAGAGUAAAAAGUCUUUGCAACUUUGCUUUAUAUAGAAAGUUGAAUGGCAAAAAGGCAAAUUAGAGGAUGAUAACUAAGGGGAAUUCAUUCUUUUUCCUUAUUCCUCAAUUUUUUCAAAGUCCACAGCUCCAACCUCUCUAUCUCUUGAGGGAGCAUAAUUCAACACGUGGGAUUGUGAUUCGCUUGAUUGAAUGAGAGAGGAUUGGAUACAUAAAACAGGAGGAAGCGGGAAAUGACCGCGGAAUUAUAUUCGUUUGGAGAGAAAAUGGAGGGUAAUAAGUGGGUUCGUUCAUGAGAUUCUAGAGAAUGAGAAUAUGAGAAUCCAAAACUAAAGAAAGCUUGGUGAGUCGCAUUCUCAACUCAAGAAUCUUUUUUGUUCAUCACAACCCGAACCCAAAAAAAAAAAGAGACUAUUCGGGUCUAUUUCUUUCCCCUUUUACUUAGUCUCGAUUUUUGUGGAUAUUUUAAUGAAUUGUGAUUCUUAUAAGCACAACAAAAGAUUAGGAGAAUCAUUGUAGGAGUUUUGUGUUCACCACAAGGCAGUGUUGUCUGCAUCCAACCGAAUCAUGUAGCAGUUUUGUUAUAUUGGUUUGAAUAUUAUGAAACUAUAAAAAAUCGAGGGCACUGCGACUGGACGCAAACGCAAAUGCUGGCUAAAUUAUUCGACAAGUCGGAUCAUUAUAAAGAGUUGAUUGUCUAGUUGCAAGUAGUUGG